rnacentral:rRNA from 1 species
CCCUAUGGGGUGCAAUUUCACCCAGAAGUUACCCAUACCGAUGAAGGGUUAGCCAUUCUCAAAAACUUCUUAUAUCAUAUUUGUGGUUUAGUUGGGGAUUGGUCCAUGGCCAAUUUUCUAACAGAAGAAGUAGAGCGCAUUCGUCAACGAGUGGGUAAUGCUAAGGUUCUAUGUGCUUUAUCCGGUGGAGUCGAUUCCUCUGUUGCUGCAGCCUUAGUACACCGAGCCAUUGGUACAAAUCUGACCAGUGUAUUCGUGGAUCAUGGGUUGAUGCGCAAAGACGAAGGCGCACAGGUAAUCCGUUUAUUCCGCGAUGAGCUCAAGAUGAAUCUCAUACCGGUAGAUGCAUCGGAGCGCUUUGUGAGUAAGCUGGCGGGGGAGC